AGCAGCCGCGGUAAUUCCAGCUCCAAUAGCGUAUAUUAAAGUUGUUGCAGUUAAAAAGCUCGUAGUUGAAUUUCGGGAUCAAUAUGUCGGUCGUGCCUUCGGUACGUACUGGUAUCAUUGGUCUCUCCUUUCUGACGAACCAUGAUGUCAUUAAUUUGGUGUUAUGGGGAGUUAGGACUGUUACUUUGAAAAAUUAGAGUGUUUAAAGCAGGCUUUAGCUUGAAUACAUUAGCAUGGAAUAAUGAAAUAGGACGUUCGAACCUAUUUUGUUGGUUUCUAGGAUCAACGUAAUGAUUAAUAGGGAUAGUUGGGGGCAUUAGUAUUCAAUUGUCAGAGGUGAAAUUCUUGGAUUUAUUGAAGACUAACUACUGCGAAAGCAUUUGCCAAGGAUGUUUUCAUUAAUCAAGAACGAAAGUUAGGGGAUCGAAGACGAUCAGAUACCGUCGUAGUCUUAACCAUAAACUAUGCCGACUAGGGAUCGGAUGAUGUUAAUUUUUAAUGUACUCAUUCGGCGCCUUAA
rnacentral:sRNA from 1 species